CUCACCAGCUUUUCUUCUUCAACGCUGACCCCCGCUCACCAACAGUGGCUUCCUGAAUUGCUGGGUUAAGCAGGAUUCUGAGGCACUGCAGGGAGAU
rnacentral:lncRNA from 1 species